ensembl:snoRNA small nucleolar RNA SNORA57
CCUCCUAUUCUUGGCAGAUCCGGGUGGUACGGUGCCCGGCUCUGUGAUGUUCUGGAGGCAGAUGAUGGGGAUCCAUCCCUCCGGUGUUCUGUCUUCGGUGCCAGUGGCUUACCCAUCUGCUGGUUCUAUCCUCAAGCUCCGGGACACGC